AGGGGGAUUGGGGGAAAUUUCUCUUCAAAGGUUGAGUGGUGCCAAUCACAUUAAUUGUGAAGCCCAAUAAUGAUCCUUUUGGAGAGGUCACACCUAAACCUAAAUGACGUGAAAAAUGAGUGGAAUGCAUGCCAUGUGAAAGUGUGAGUUUAUGUGAAGUGAAAAAAUGAUAAAAGUAAUAAGAUAAGAGUGAAGGUGUGCAAAUGUAGAUGAAAGUACUCGUGUGCGAGCGAAGAUAAAAUGCUCGUGUGCAAG
rnacentral:lncRNA from 1 species